UUGUGGAGGAGGACGCCGAAGGUGGGGCUAAUGACUGGGGUGAAGUCGUAACAAGGUAGCCGUACCGGAAGGUGCGGCUGGAUCACCUCCUAACAGGGAGACAACAAAAUGUUUAAUAUUAUUAUUUUGUCACCUUAGGUCGAUCGGUAUCUCACGUUCUUAAUUUAUUAAGAAUUCCAUUUCCUAAGUUUUUCUAGGUCACACCCAUCAUUUUUCCUGGGCCAUUAGCUCAGGUGGUUAGAGCGCACCCCUGAUAAGGGUGAGGUCCCUGGUUCAAGUCCAGGAUGGCCCAUAUCUCUAUGUUGGGGGUAUAGCUCAGUUGGUAGAGCGCCUGCUUUGCAAGCAGGAUGUCAGCGGUUCGAGUCCGCUUACCUCCACUGAUUACCACCUCUUCCAUAACCGGUAGAAAGGAAAAGUUUUGAGUUGUGAUCAAAUUCUGAAAGAAUCUAGCUUCCUAAUGAAAUCAUUAAGAUGCUGGACUCAUUGAAUUAAUUUCAUUGUUUUCAGAGAACCUUGACAACUGCAUAGAUUAUUUUUAAAGACAAUAAGCAUCUUUAAUGAUGCAGAUUUAUUAUUUGUGCGAAUGCAUUAAUAACAAUUCUAUUAAGCUGAUGCUUCAAUUUUGAAGUUAUUGGUCAAGCUACAA
rnacentral:misc_RNA from 1 species